AGAAUCAACGCUGGCGGCGUGCCUAACACAUGCAAGUCGAACGAGAAAGGGUAGCAAUACCUGAGUACAGUGGCGCACGGGUGAGUAACACGUGAAUAAUCUACCUCCGAGUGGGGAAUAACUGAGAGAAAUCUUAGCUAAUACCGCAUAAUACCCACGGGUCAAAGCAGCAAUGCGCUUGGAGAGGAGUUCGCGGCAGAUUAGUUAGUUGGCGGGGUAAUGGCCCACCAAGACGAUGAUCUGUAU
rnacentral:rRNA from 1 species